AUAGGCUUAGUCCUAACCUUAGUAUUAACUGAAAUUAUGCUUAUACAUGCAAGUCUCACGCCCCCCAGUGAAAAUGUCCCUUAUUUCCAUUAAGAUAAAGAGAACCGAUAUCAGGCGCCCAUAAGCCCAUCACAUCUAGUCAAGCCACUCCUACACAGGAACUCAGCAGUAAUAAACCUUGAGAUAUAAGCGACAAGCUCGACUCAACAAUAAUUAAUAGGGUCGGUAAAUCUCGUGCCAGCCACCGCGGUUAUACGAAAGACCCAAAUUAAUACACACGGCCAAAAGGUGGUUAAAAACAUAUAACUGAAUUAAAAACAUACUUGGCUGUCAUACGCAAAAGUAAACCCUAAGCCCAAUACAAGCCUCACUAACACUUGAAGCCACUAUAAUCAAGAAACAAACUGGGAUUAGAUACCCCACUAUGCUUGUUCUCAAACCUUCGGCCAGAGUACUACGAGCCACAGCUUAAAACUCAAAGAACUUGGCGGUGCUCUACACCCACCUAGAGGAGCCUGUUCUGUAAUCGAUACUCCCCGAUAAACCUCACCACCUCUGGCCAAUACAGCCUAUAUACCACCGUCCUCUGCCUAUCUUCAAAAGAAUUAUAAGUAAGCAUAACAAUUUAAAAUAAAAAAGCCAGGUCAAGGUGUAGCACAUGAGGCGGAAAGAAAUGGGCUACAUUUUCUCCAUUAGAAAACACGUAAAGUCCUAUGAAAAAAAAACAAAAGGAGGAUUUAGAAGUAAAAAGAAAUAAGAAUGUUCUUUUUAAACCAGGCAUAAAGCACGCACACACCGCCCGUCACCCUCAUUUAAAACAAAUAGAAGAGGAAAGUCGUAACAUGGUAAGCUACCGGAAGGUGGUCUUAGAU
rnacentral:ncRNA from 1 species